rnacentral:rRNA from 1 species
ACUCAAAUGAAUAGACGGGGGCCCGCACAAGCAGUGGAGUAUGUGGUUUAAUUCGACGCAACGCGAAGAACCUUACCAAGGCUUGACAUCCUACUAACGAAGUAGAGAUACAUUAGGUGCCCUUCGGGGAAAGUAGAGACAGGUGGUGCAUGGUUGUCGUCAGCUCGUGUCGUGAGAUGUUGGGUUAAGUCCCGCAACGAGCGCAACCCUUACGGUUAGUUGCUACGGAAGAGCACUCUAGCCGGACUGCCGUUGACAAAACGGAGGAAGGUGGGGACGAUGUCAAAUCAUCAUGCCCUUUAUGUCUUGGGCUACACACGUACUACAAUGGCGAGAAACAACGGGCAGCGAAGGAGCGAUCCGGAGCGAAUCCCCAAACCUCGCCUCAGUUCGGAUUGCAGGCUGAAACCCGCCUGUAUGAAGCUGGAAUUGCUAGUAAUCGCGAAUCAGCAUGUCGCGGUGAAUACGUUCCCGGGCCUUGCACACACCGCCCGU